GAUGAACGCUGGCGGCGUGCCUAAUACAUGCAAGUAGAACGCUGAAGGAGGAGCUUGCUCUUCUGGAUGAGUUGCGAACGGGUGAGUAACGCGUAGGUAACCUGCCUGGUAGCGGGGGAUAACUAUUGGAAACGAUAGCUAAUACCGCAUGACAACAGUUAUUGCAUGAUAACUGUUUAAAAGGGGCAACUGCUCCACUACCAGAUGGACCUGCGUUGUAUUAGCUAGUUGGUGAGGUAACGGCUCACCAAGGCGACGAUACAUAGCCGACCUGAGAGGGUGAUCGGCCACACUGGGACUGAGACACGGCCCAGACUCCUACGGGAGGCAGCAGUAGGGAAUCUUCGGCAAUGGACGGAAGUCUGACCGAGCAACGCCGCGGGAGUGAAGAAGGGUUUCGGAUCGUAAAGCUCUGUUGUAAGAGAAGAACGAGUGUGAGAGUGGAAAGUUCACACUGUGACGGUAUCUUACCAGAAAGAGACGGCUAACUACGUG
rnacentral:rRNA from 1 species